AUGGCGACGAUCGCCCAAAGAGAGAGGGUAUUGCCCACCGUCCAGGCGCUGACACACGGGGACCUGUUUACCAAGGUGCUUAGACCGUUCGCAGACAACGGUGGCUUUCAGCGGGAUGUGAGCUCUGGCUCAGCCCCGGCGCUUGCCUCUAGCGACUUGCGCAUGCGCAUUCGCGUACCCGGCAGGGGCGCGGCAACAUCGGCUCUGUCCAGCUGCUGCCGCACAGGUGCACGGUGGAGGCGCUGCCAGAGCUUUACCCUGAAACGACGCUGCAUGCCAAAAGCAGCGCAGGACACUGAGGUUGUCCUCAGUACCUCUUUGAGCCCACCUUCCCGUUCUCCUUGGCUGGAGGAGGAGCGCAGUUCAGACCGUGAGGUGGGCUCUCUUCCCAUUGGAAAAGAGGCUGCUUUUCCCAUUGGAUUCCGGAUCAAAUGACCUGGGCAGGGUUCAGGUCCCAUGGGGCUGGAGAUUCCGUUUGGUUAGUUGUGGCGCGGGCUUGAUAGACCACAGAAACAUACCUGAGAACCUGCAGCAAGCUGUCAGGAGGACCGUCGCCGUCUCCAAUAGCUGACUGCCUCCCUUCGAUCUGGGGCACCCGCCAAGAGGUUUUGUCUUUGCCUCUAAUCCCAGGCACUCCUGCUUCUCAUCACGGUUUUGCAGAAAAGAAGAGAACAAUCAGUCCUGACCUCAGUACCUUUUUGAGCCGACUUUUGUCUUCGGGUCGCUAGGGGUGGCAUGUGCUCUAGACCGUGAAAUAGGCACUCGGCACUGCUCUUCCCAUUUUAUUUUGAAUCGGAUGGGGUAGGCACAAUCGGGUCCCUUUGGGCUCGAGAUUCAGUUUGUUGAGGUGUGGCCGGGGUUACUGGACCAUGGAAACACACCUGAGAUUCUCCGGGAAGAUGUCAGAAGUACAUCCUCCAGUUCCAUAAGCUUACUGCCUUCCUUUGAUCUUGGCCACCCAUCUCCGGGCUCUGCCUUCGUCUUUAUCCUCAGGGACUUCUGCUUCUCAGCACUGCUGUCUUGACAUGGAGGGAACAACCACA
rnacentral:lncRNA from 1 species